CUAAAACCCUAGCCCAAUUGACCUCCGAUACUAACCCCAAUAAACCAAAAUAUUUAACCGAUUUAGUAAAGAAGAUUAAAAAAUAAAUUAGAGCAAUAAACAUGUACCGCAAGGGAAAGAUGAAAUAACAAUGAAAUAGCCCUAAAGUAUAAAAAAGUAGAGCCAAACUCUCGUACCUUUUGCAUCAUGGUUUAACUAGUAAGACCAGGCAAAAAGAUUUAUAGUCUGACCCCCCGAAACUAAGUGAGCUACUCUAGGACAGCUUAAUGAGCAAACCCGUCUCUGUUGCAAAAGAGUGGGAAGAUCCUAAAGUAGGGAUAAUAUACCUAACGAACUUAGCAAUAGCUGGUUACUCAGGAAAAGAAUUUUAGUUCAACCUAAAGCCACCACAAUACCACAACAUACAAGCCCGGCUUUAAAGUUAAUCAAAUAAGUUACAGCCUAUUUGACACAGGAGACAGCCUCCACCUCUGGGUAAUACAAAACUACAAGUAGUGUAGUAGGCCUAAAAGCAGCCAUCUUUCAAAAAGCGUCAAAGCUUAACCAUAACCCCCUCUAAAUCCCCCAACCAAAUUAAAACCCUACCACAAUACUGAGUAAUCCCAUACCCAUAUGGAAAUUCUAAUGUUAAAACUAGUAACAAGAAAUAGACCUUCUCUUAAAUGUAAACGCAGGUCAGAACGGACCGCCCACUGACACCCAACAACCCUAAUUCUACAGUAGUACCUACCCCAAGAAAACCCUACUCAAACGAUUGUUAACCUAACACAAGAACAUUUUAAGAAAGACUGAAAGAAAAAGAAGGAACUCGGCAAAAAUUGACUCCGCCUGUUUACCAAAAACAUCGCCUCCUGUAGAUCUAUAAGAGGUCCAGCCUGCCCAGUGACCCAGUUUAACGGCCGCGGUAUCCUAACCGUGCGAAGGUAGCGUAAUCACCUGUUUUCUAAUUAAAGACCCGUAUGAAAGGCACCACGAGAGUCACACUGUCUCCUUUUUCCAGUCAGUGAAACUAAUCUUCCCGUGAAAAAGCGGGAAUUCACAUACAAGACGAGAAGACCCUUUGGAGCUUAAGACAAAAUAAUACAUGUUAUUUUUUCCCCCCCCCCCUCACCUCACAGCACCUUACUUAUAAGUCUUGGGUUGGGGCAACCACGGAGUAAAAAUAAACCUCCAAGAUGAACGGAACCCUCCUAAACAAAAAGCCACAACUUUAUGUAUCAACAAACUGACAUCAUUAGACCCAAUAUUUUUGAUUAACGAACCAAGUUACCCAAGGGAUAACAGCGCAAUCCACUUCAAGAGUCCAUAUCGACAAGUGGGCUUACGACCUCGAUGUUGGAUCAAGAUACCCCAGUGGUGCAGCCGCUACUAAAGGUUCGUUUGUUCAACGAUUAAAACCUCACGUGAUCUGAGUUCAGACCGGAGUAAUCCAGGUCAGUUUCUAUCUGUAAUAGAGCUUUUUCCAGUACGAAAGGACAGAAACAACAUGGCCAAUAUGCCACAUACGCCAUCUUAAUAACUUUUUGAUUUCUAUUAAAAACCCAUUAAUCUAACCUUACCCCCUCAAAACAAGAGC
rnacentral:rRNA from 1 species